GGGUCUGAAUGUUGACAUGCACUCGUCACUUAAAUGUAGUUCCUUCUUUUUUUUCUAUUUGAGGUCUGAUAACACAACGAACGGUUUUAAAUGCAGAAGUAGUGCUGAAUAAAAGCAAGUUCAUGUCAGGGAAAUGACAUUUCAUGGUGGGUUUGGCUGCUGCACUCGCAGGGAAUGUAUCCCUGAGUGCCAGUUUAAGGAGUCAGCACAUGGUUGAAAGCUGGGCAGGAAACUACACACAGUUUCCUGGUUGUGCGGGACUCUGUGACGUCUCAGCCAAGCCUGCUGUGUGUGUCUGCCGGAGCGCAGAAUGAGGAAGUCUUUGAUUAUAAUAUCAAAUGCACAGGAGCAGUUUUCCAACUGUCUGAGUCUCAUCUGUCUUUCUCUGACUUGACUCAGCUGGUGCUCUUCUACUCUCUGACCAGGGAUGUGCUGGAUGUUUGUCUCCACAUUCCUCGCUGGAUCUACAGCGUAACAGACACAAAAAAAGAGCGUCUUUCACAGCUUGAACCUA
ensembl:lncRNA